AAACGAAGAAGAGGUAAUGAAAAAAAUUUGGAAUUUUAACCGGGACGGACGAAACUCGCUCAAUGGAAAUAAAAAGGUCCGGAAACCACUACAGAAGGAAUUGCCCACAACCAAAAUGACGAAGCUGACCAACCAGUCUUCGCGAGCCUUCUGAGACCCGGUGAGGUGCAACGGCUCUGUAAGUAUUAGAAGGGCAAUAAUUGACAUGGUGAGUAAUGGACGCAUCCAUUACGCCUCCUCUCCACGCGUCCGCGCGGUAACAUGUUAUACCAUGUUCUUAAUGCCAUAGAGAUAGAAGGACGGAGGGCUCGCGUGCGGUGUCCCGUAGCAGGCCGCGCAAUGCCGGGACGCAGUGUGAGGGUGAGCCGAUUGUCAAAUAAUACCCUUCGAACACUUCACAGUGGCCGACCCCAAGCCAUCCUCUCAUAGAGGGCGGUGCGAAAGAUUGGUAGUCUUCGUCCAGCAUCCUCCAACCGCAGAGUUCUCCAGGUAAGUGUCGGGUAAGUAUAGCUUCUUAGCCCCUUUUUUACAGCCAACCAAACGAAGUACACCUUCUGCGGAAAUUGCAUUACACCCCAAGCUGUGUCACAAACCACCAAUGGGACCAAAAGGAAAGGGCAGACGAUUUGGACCAAAUAAAGAAAAGGAAGGUUUCACCGCGGAAUCAAAAGGGAUUACACUCCCCAGCCCCCCGGACCGGCCAGGAACCAGGUGAGUCAACUAUCUUCCUCUACUUCCAUUGAACACUUUGCUCCUACCACAACGUCAUCUGCCCCGGGUAACUAAGGGAACUCCCAAGUCCAAGGCGCUCUCAGAAAUAGCGCCAUCUCGUGCAAAAAGAAAAUGUUCGGUCGUAUAAAUCGGUCAACACGAAUCAUUACUGUAAUCUGACGUUACCAUCUAAAAUUGAUGAAAACUGGCUAAAUAAAAUACGAAGCCAUCGUUGUGUGAACUAUCUUCCGGACGGCGUCGACAUAAAACAGAAAUUUGGUAUUUGUACGCCAAUGAAAUCCUGGCACAAAAGAAAGGAAUCAAUUCCAUUGGACUGUCUUCAUGUGAACAAAGCCUAAGUGUCCUUAGUGAAAUUUCCCUAGACGAUUUCUCCUAGGGCAGUAAUAGGCGCUUUCGCAUAAUGGCUGGUACUCACCUCGGUUUUCACCGGGGAAAACCCAUAUUCCUCGCGGUAACUUCCUUUUCUUGAAAAACUAUACAAAUACCAAUGAUAAAAACAAUUUUCUCAAAACCCCACUGUAAGCCAUGAGGGAAUAUCCUACUGAAUGAAAUCGGCGUGUUUCCUUGCCUUAAAAUCUGUUAUAUUAACAAGGUAACCAGCAAAAAAAAAAAUAAGGUUUAGCACUGCCCUUAACUCCGGGUCACCUAAAAUAGCGUGCUUUAUUUCUGCUCCAGAAGAAACGGAAAAUUCGCGAAAUGAGAAAAAUAAGUACCAUUUGGCACACCCAAAAUUCAAACAGUAACAACUAUUUGACACCCCUCCGAACUAAAAGAAAAAAAAAAAGGUUUCUGUGGAAAGCCAUAUCUAACUCCACAUUGUGCUGGUAUCCCCAGAAAAACCAAAAAAAAAAUAGGUCAUAGCCAACUAGCAAUAAACUGUCGGCUGGUGUCUAAAACAAAACCGACCCAGGACUCGUGUUUGGAAGAAACCACACGGAACCUGGUGUCGGGAAGACAAAAGAAAAAUAAACUGACGUGGAAAGAAAAGAACGCCUAAAUUCGCAUUUCCGUAGAUAAAACAGAAGUGAAAAAAAAAGAAUUGUUUGAAAAAAAAAAAAAUUUUUUUUUCAGCCUGUGUCUUGUGUCUAAUAAAUUGGAAAAAGACAAAACUGUAAUCGGAAAGAAAAACUAAACAGUAUAAAAGCUAAUCCAUUCCCAUUCUAAAUCUAAAGACAUUUCCUUAAAUUAAACUAUAACCUAUGAUCAUCAUAAUUCAUUUCAUUCUUCAGUAAAUCUUAACCCUAAUUAAUGCCUAAAUCAGAUUUCCAAAGCACUCGCUACUCUAGCUAUGGGAUACUUUGCCGACCCGUACAAUCGAGUAAAAAAACUCAACUUCUUACUACAACCUUAUAACUAAAAUCGCAAAAAAAAGAAAUCAAUUCAAAAAAAAAACGUAUAUAAAAUAAAAAAAAAGAAUAAAAAUAGAACAGGGCAAUUCAUUGCAAUAAACAUAAACUUACAGCUAACAAGCAACUAUGGCCUUAACUAUUGCUUCAAAUCCUUGGCGUGAUAGACACCCAAGGAUUUCCCUUGUAAAUCCUCUAUUUCAUAAAGGGAAUUACCAAUCGGCUUCACUACGCGGCACCGUACAAACUUAUUAUCCAGCUUAGCAUUGUACCCCUUCUUAAAAUCGCUUUGUCUAAAGCUCCGACGGUAGACUUCUUGACCAGGAAUAUAGUUAACUACUCUACACCGUAGAUUAUACGCCUUCUCGCCACGCUGGUAAGCUUUGUGCAGGCAUUCCCUGAUUCUGCCUCUUAUCAGAUCCAGUUUCUCGGACUUCAUCAGGAAGUUCAAUUCGGGGUCGUUCAGCAGCUCAAGUUUCCUAG